rnacentral:rRNA from 1 species
GAGCACGCCGCGUGAGUGAGAAGGGUUUCCGGCUCCGUAAAACUCUGUUGUUAAAGAAGAACAUAUCUGAGAGUAACUGUUCAGGUAUUGACGGUAUUUAACCAGAAAGCCACGGCUAACUACGUGCCAGCAGCCGCGGUAAUACGUAGGUGGCAAGCGUUGUCCGGAUUUAUUGGGCGUAAAGCGAGCGCAGGCGGUUUUUUAAGUCUGAUGUGAAAGCCUUCGGCUCAACCGAAGAAGUGCAUCGGAAACUGGGAAACUUGAGUGCAGAAGAGGACAGUGGAACUCCAUGUGUA